AUAGAAUUAUAUAUAUAUAUAUAUAUUAUAUAUUAUACACAAAAAAUAAACAAAUUAUAAAUAGUUUUGGUCGUAGGCUAAAAGUUAUCUUUGCGCAAUGAACCUUAAAAGAUAAUGGGCUUUUGUUUCUUAAACUUUUGGUCCAAUUAGAAUUGUCAAAAUGGGCUAGGGCUAUCUAGUCCUAGCGGGCUAGAAAAUCAUCUAAGAAGAAUUAAUUCAAAUAGCCGCCCAGUCAACUAUUUAAACUAAAAAUAGCCGAUAAAUGUAUAAUAUAUGUAUAAUUUAUAUAUUAUAUAUGUAUUUUUGUAUAUAAUCAAUGUAUAAUAUAUGCAUAUGGCUAGAAAAAAUAAACAAAGAAUAUGAACGGCUAUGUAAAAAUCCCAAAAUCUAACAGCCUAACCGAAUUCAGCAUUUCAUUUGAAUUGACUUCCAAAAUGCCAAAUGCAUACGACUGGAUAUCUGAAUCGUGCGCAAUAAGUUACAAAGCUUAUUCUAAUGAAUAGUUGUACACCGAUUAGUACAAUAAGUUAUUAUAAUGAAUUACUUACCAUUUAUUACAGGCUCCAAUAAACGUUAAUUAAAUAAAAAUUUCUUAUCAUUAUUUUUUAAGCGAGCUGAUUAUAUAAAUAUUUCUUACAUUAUCAGUACAUAAAAUUUAGAAUGAAAAACUUAAUGUUGCUAAUAUUAUAAAUUUAUAGACUCUAUGGUUUUGAGUACUUAUUCCCGCUCCUGCUCCAUCUCAUACAUAAAAAAGAAGAAGAAGAAGAAGAAAAGAGCGAUAAUGUAUUAAUAUUCCUAAUCCGUCCAAUCUUUGUUAAAAAAUUACUUGAUAUCUUUGUCGGUGGGAAAUAAAUAUCUAGUAGAUUAAUCAAAAUGCAUUCAACUAAGUAAAAUAUGAUUAGUAUAGCCAGUACAUAGGUUGCAAUACCUAAACCUAUAGCAGUAGGUUUGCAUUAUUUUCAGUUUACAUAAAAAGUUACAUACUAAUUAGAAUCUCCUACUCCAAAUACUGUCAUUGUUUUUUGGGAAGGAGAGAGUAGCAUUUUACUUUCUUCACGCUAUUCAUAACUUGUCAAACCUAUCAAAGAAUAAAGCGUUUUCUGAAUUGUAACAUUCAAUAGUAUUAAAGUUACUGUUCCUUAGGCAUAAUGAUGAAGAGAUAUAAAUUGGCUUCUCACUUGAGCUAAGCACUAUGCCAUUCGAUUUAAGUAAUUAUAUAUAUGUCCAUAUAGUGUAAUUUUUUAUUAUUAUUAUCAAUAAAUUUUAAUUUGUGCUAGUAGCUUCGGUUAUCCUCCUUAUAAGAUUAGUAAUGGAGCUAAAUUAGGAUAGAACAGUAUCUUUUAUUUUUGAUUUCAUUAAUGUAUAUUUCUGAUUCUUACAGCUUUGGUUUUUGAUACGAUUUAUUUAUUUUUACUGAUAUUGUGGAAUUCCUUCCCACACAAUUCACUAGCUUGUAUUUAAAGAGCACAUUAUCAACGAUACACAACAAGCUUUUUUCUAUGGUAUCUGGGCAAUAAACACUCAAACGAGUAUAGACUCCAAAAUCAUCUUCUCCAUCUUAUUCACAAAGUAUCCCUUUUUUUUUCCUCCCCUCUAAAUCACCAGAAAAUCAAUGGGUGACUCCUUUGCUUCAGGCACUAAUCCAAACAACAAUGAUCCAGAAGGCCGCAACAUGGAAUCCAAAACACAGAUUAUUAACAUCAACCCAACUGCACAGCUUCCUAUCAAACUUGUUGGUGGUGCAAACUUCGCAACAUGGAAAGCUCAAAUUCAAAAGGUCAUGAAUGGCUUUGACUUGAUGGGUUAUCUCGAUGGAUCUAUAACACCACCUCCACAUACCAUUAAGCAAGGAACUCAAGAUGUUGUCAAUCCAGAUUUCAAAAUUUGGUUUCAACAAGAUAAUCUCAUCGGCAAUGCCUUAAUGGCAUAUGUCGAUUUCACUAUUGCACCAUCUGUUGCCUCCGCUGAAACUUAGCAUGGGAUUAUCUGCAUACCACAUAUGUGAAUAAAUCUCAAACCCGGAUCUAUAGUCUUUGAGAUGCACUAGCCAAAGUCCAGCGAGAUCAAAAGUCUGUCAAUGAUUAUCUCAGAGAAAUAAGAACAAUCAUUGAUGAGUUAGCUGUUGUCGGUGCUCGCGUUUCUAAUGAAGAAUUGGUUGUGAAAAUAUUGAGCGGUCUCAGACCCGAAUAUGAAGCACUGAGUACUGUUAUUCAAUCAAGGGACUCGCCUAUAUCAUAUGAAGAAUUGGCACACAAGCUCACAGAUCAUGAACUUUAUCUCAAGCAAGCUGAAAAGAAGAAACCAGUAACUCCCAUGAUUGUUCAAGUUGCACAACGAAUAGUCAAUAAUAAUAACACUUGCAACAGACAAACUCGUCGUUGGUCUGGCUAGCCUCAAUGGCGUCCACAAAUUACUCCUAUUGGACAACAACAAUGGCAUUCCCAGAACACUCAAAGCAAUGGAAACCUUUCCCAGCCAUGGCGUCCCUCCACUUCGUUGCAUGACAAAGUGCCAAUUCAAUGUCAGUUAUGUCAAAAAUUUGGCCAUACUGCAAAUAUUUGCCAUUAAAAAUCACAUAACCAUUUUGAAGCUAAGGCUAUGUAUGCUUCUCGGAAUUCUCCCAACAAUGCUCCUUGGGUUCUGGAUAUUGGUGCCUCACAUCAUAUUACUGCUGAUCCUCAGAGCAUAGCCUCUCCACAUGAAUACACGAGUUCUGAAGAAGUUUCAAUGGGUGAUGGUAAUGGCACUGGCUACGGGGGCACUGCUAUUACAAGGCCAGAAUAGAGAUGAUUUGUACGAAUGGCCAAAGCUUACAACUUCAGCAUAUUCAUCCCCAACAGCCUACACGGCAAAUACCUCAAAAGUUCCUUUAUCUAUGCGGCAUCGUCGUUUAAGAUAUCCUAAUAUCCGUCUUCUGAAGUUUCUCUUAGACAAUCUUUAGUUGUCGUAUUUUGAUAAUUUUCAAUCUUGUAAUUCAUGCAAUUACAAUAAAAGCCAUAAGAAUUCUUUUUCGCAGAA